UCCUACGGGAGGCAGCAGUGAGGAAUAUUGGUCAAUGGACGCAAGUCUGAACCAGCCAUCCCGCGUGCAGGAUGACGGCCCUAUGGGUUGUAAACUGCUUUUAUUUGCCAAGAAUGGUUACUACGUGUAGUGAUUUGACGGUAGCAAAUGAAUAAGGACCGGCUAACUCCGUGCCAGCAGCCGCGGUAAUACGGAGGGUCCAAGCGUUAUCCGGAUUCAUUGGGUUUAAAGGGUGCGCAGGCGGGCUUGUAAGUCAGUGGUGAAAUUCUGCAGCUUAACUGUAGAACUGCCAUUGAUACUGCAAGUCUUGAAUAUGGUUGAGGUAGGCGGAAUGUGUUGUGUAGCGGUGAAAUGCAUAGAUAUGACACAGAACGCCAAUUGCGAAGGCAGCUUACUAAGCCAUGAUUGACGCUGAGGCACGAAAGCGUGGGGAGCGAACAGGAUUAGAUACCCUGGUAGUCCACUCAGUGACGAUGAUCACUCGCUGUCUGCGAUACACAGUAGGCGGCUGAGCGAAAGC
rnacentral:rRNA from 1 species